AUCUACCCUUAUCUAGCUGUGUGUUUUGUCUGCCUGUCCUCGAUAAAGGACAGCGAUGUCACUGUGGAGCCACACCAGUAUACCUACAGGAAAAACCAUUCCACAGACAAUGCCAUGUCAUCAGUAGUUCCUGCAUGUUUCACAAACCUGAAAACACUAGACCUCCCCAUGCUGGAGACGAGCAGCUUUUAAUGCGGGCUCCAGCUUUGGUUACCUUGGUGUACAUCUUUCUGAGGACCUUACAUAGAGCCACAACACUGGACCCCUGGUUAAGACGGUACUGUCUCAGGAGGCUGAUGCACACCAGAUGGUUGGUGGAGAGGAUCCUGUCCUGUCUGGCAUGGUAGCUACUAUGUGGUAGAGAAGAAGGCUAAGUUGAGGGUGGUGACAGC
ensembl:lncRNA